AUUGAACGCUGGCGGCAUGCCUUACACAUGCAAGUCGAACGGCAGCACGGGAGCAAUCCUGGUGGCGAGUGGCGAACGGGUGAGUAAUAUAUCGGAACGUGCCCAGUCGUGGGGGAUAACGCAGCGAAAGCUGUGCUAAUACCGCAUACGAUCUAAGGAUGAAAGCGGGGGACCGUAAGGCCUCGCGCGAUCGGAGCGGCCGAUGUCAGAUUAGGUAGUUGGUGGGGUAAAGGCUCACCAAGCCAACGAUCUGUAGCUGGUCUGAGAGGACGACCCGCAACACUGGGACUGGGACACGGCCCAGACUCCUACGGGAGGCAGCAGUGGGGAAUUUUGGACAAUGGGCGAAAGCCUGAUCCAGCAAUGCCGCGUGCAGGAAGAAGGCCUUCGGGUUGUAAACUGCUUUUGUACGGAGCGAAAAGGUCUCCUCUAAUACAGGGGGCUCAUGACGGUACCGUAAGAAUAAGCACCGGCUAACUACGUGCCAGCCGCCGCCGUAA
rnacentral:rRNA from 1 species